GCGGCGUGCCUAAUACAUGCAAGUAGAACGCUGAAGGAAGGAGCUUGCUCUUUCCGGAUGAGUUGCGAACGGGUGAGUAACGCGUAGGUAACCUGCCUGGUGGCGGGGGAUAACUAUUGGAAACGAUAGCUAAUACCGCAUAACAGUAGAUAUCGCAUGAUAGCUGCUUGAAAGGUGCAAAUGCACCACUACCAGAUGGACCUGCGUUGUAUUAGCUAGUUGGUGAGGUAACGGCUCACCAAGGCAACGAUACAUAGCCGACCUGAGAGGGUGAUCGGCCACACUGGGACUGAGACACGGCCCAGACUCCUACGGGAGGCAGCAGUAGGGAAUCUUCGGCAAUGGACGGAAGUCUGACCGAGCAACGCCGCGUGAGUGAAGAAGGUUUUCGGAUCGUAAAGCUCUGUUGUAAGAGAAGAACGAGUGUGAGAGUGGAAAGUUCACACUGUGACGGCAUCUUACCAGAAAGGGACGGCUAACUACGUG
rnacentral:rRNA from 1 species